GGUUCCUGGCCCCUUCUGCGUUGACAGGCGGCCUUUUAAGUCUGAUAUUAUAAUGAAUUUCAAGAAUCAAGUGUUUGCCCCUAAAAUGAAUUUGUUUCUCGGAGCCACACCCCAGUUGCCUUGAAAUGAAGUAACCUUUGUGAGGUAGGAAGCAGGGGCCUCUGUCAAGCAGUCUUACCUGGAAGAGAGCACCUCUCUGACCUUAGAUCCUUGUCUAGAGCUUCAGAGCAGAGACAGAAGAGCCCAGGAAGGAGCAGAUCUGAUCCGCUUGCCCGGAAUGAGCCAGACUUAAUGAUGAUGCCACCUUCAGGAGCCACCACACUGAUCCCAGGAUGAUGAUACUUGAAGGAUUUUCCAAAGUCGUUUACUUCCAACUCUCGAAACCUUUCAGACCCAAUGUCUUUAAAGGUUCAGUGACUUGUUCAGGGAAACCCAGUUUGUUUGUGACAGAGUCAGAAGGAAAACAGUACAGUUCACUUUCUCACAGGAUGGUGCUGGUGUGCGCAGGGAGCAGCCGUGUUGAUUUCCACGUUUGCUGAGGCAUCCAAGUGUGAGCUGCUGAUCACAGUGCUGACAUGAAUGAAAGAUGGAAAAAUGGAAGCAAAGCCAUCAAGUGCCUUUCCCAGGGUCUUAGAAGAAGUCACCAAGAAGGCUGGUCUGUCUCAAGUCUCGUGACUCCAGUUUAAUAUUCCCCACAAUAAUGUUGGAAAACCACAUUGGAAAGGGAAGACUCCUUCCUAGCACUGCUGUCGCACCACCAAGCUUCAAAGAAGCAAUGGAAACAGGAUCCAGAAGCCUGAAGUGAGACAUCUGGCCAACUGGCCUGUGCUGACACCGUUAAGCCAAACAGACCUCUCAGACAGCCUCUCAGGCCCUGCCCCUGGUUGUGGCCCAGCCCCCAGGGCACACUGGGCAGGGCCUCCUCUUAGAAAUCCCUCCCAUUGCUUGGCUGUUCCUCCAGAGGAUUCUGAGCUCAGCUGGAUGUGCCUGGCUGUGAUGAGGCAGCCAUGGUCUUGGUCCUCUGGGAAGUCCUGCUUUCCCAUAGGAACUGGAGUCUGGGAAAAAGGAAAACUGUCCUAGAACUAGAAGAAGAGUGCGAGAUCACUCCUGGAUGGUGCUGCCACCUCAUUUGGACAGGCCACUUCCUAAAUGUGCUGUGUGUGCAAAUUCUGUCUCAUUGCCUCAUCUAGUGUUCCUCUAAAUGGAAGCAAAUAGCUUGGCACCAGACUCUCUCCUGGCUUUGAUGAAGCAAGCUCCCAUGUUGGAGAGGCCCACAUGACAAGGAACUGAGGUGGCCUCCAGCCAACUCCAGCCCAUAGCCAGCCAGGAAUUGAGGAUCUCAGUCCAACAGACCUUGAGGAACUGCAUCUUGCCAACAACUACAUAAGUGAGCACGGAACUGGGUCCUGCCCAGUCGAGCCUUCAGAUGAGACCCCAGCCCCAGCUGACACCUGAAUUGCAGCCUUGCGAGAGACCCUGGAGCAGAGAACCCAGAUCCAGCUUGGAAAUCUUCAGUUAUCAUGAAAAUCUUCAAAUGAGGAGCAAACCAUUUCUCUCCAAAUGGCAGAUAAUAAGAUGUUCUAGAAUGAGACAGCAUUUUGAAAGUAUAUAUAUGGAAUGAUAGCUCCAUGAAUGUUAACUGAUGUUUUACCAAAAAAAGUCUCAUAAUCAAGUAAGUUGCAUAACAUUGGGUUGAACAAUGUUUAACAGACUUCCUUAUUGCAGGACUUCUCAGUGAUUCUGAUAUACAAGUCAUCUAUCAUAAAUCUCUAUGCAGAAGAUAAUAUGCCACAUUUUUUAAAUUUACCAAAAAAUUAAACUAUUUUUUCUGCAGGUGCUUUGUGGGACUGGUGUUCCAAAGACUAAGUGAAACACACUGUCUGAGAUGUCAUUCCUGUCCUCUAAGGUUCUGUAGUCUGGAUUUGCACUGUCUAAUAUCAUAGCCACUAGCCACAUAUGGCUCUUGAUCACUGGAAAUGCAGCUAGUCUGAAUUGAGAUAUGCUGUAAGUAUAAAAUACUGGAUUUUGAAGACUUAGAACAGAAAAAAAUAUUUUUUUAAUUGAUUACAUAUUGAAAUAAUAAUAUUUU